rnacentral:rRNA from 1 species
UACGAGAGGCGCAAACGUUAUUCGGAUUUACUGGGCUUAAAGAGUUCGUAGGCGGCGCAGAAAGUAGGGUGUGAAAGCCCUCGGCUCAACCGAGGAAUUGCGCUCUAAACUACUGUGCUUGAGGAAGCUAGAGGUGAGCGGAACUGAUGGUGGAGCGGUGAAAUGCGUUGAUAUCAUCAGGAACACCGGGAGGCGAAGGCGGCUCACUGGGGCUUAUCUGACGCUGAGGAACGAAAGCCAGGGGAGCGAACGGG